AUUGAACGCUGGCGGCAGGCUUAACACAUGCAAGUCGAGCGGAGUGAUGGUGCUUGCACUAUCACUUAGCGGCGGACGGGUGAGUAAUGCUUAGGAAUCUGCCUAUUAGUGGGGGACAACAUCUCGAAAGGGAUGCUAAUACCGCAUACGUCCUACGGGAGAAAGCAGGGGAUCACUUGUGACCUUUCGCUAAUAGAUGAGCCUAAGUCGGAUUAGCUAGUUGGUGGGGUAAAGGCGUACCAAGGCGACGAUCUGGAGCGGGUCUGAGAGGAUGAUCCGCCACACUGGGACUGAGACACGGCCCAGACUCCUACGGGAGGCAGCAGUGGGGAAUAUUGGACAAUGGGGGGAACCCUGAUCCAGCCAUGCCGCGUGUGUGAAGAAGGCCUUAUGGUUGUAAAGCACUUUAAGCGAGGAGGAGGCUCUUUUGGUUAAUACCCAAGAUGAGUGGACGUUACUCGCAGAAUAAGCACCGGCUAACUCUGUGCCAGCCGCCGCCGUAA
rnacentral:rRNA from 1 species